AGCUAGGCCACUCAUUUUAUUUUUAGCUAAUCCUCUCUAAUUCCAUUCCAAAGGCCUAACCAAUUAAGGCCAGUGUCCUAAUGGCCAACGUGCCGCACAAGGAUACACACACAUACCUGGAGAUGCAAAAGUGGAGAAAUGGAAAGAGCUGGGCACAGCCAAAGCUCCUCAAUUUACACUCGCUCGCAGUCACUCACACACACACACACAUUCGCACACAUUAGGCAAAGGUCCAACACAGGAUAUGCCAAAAGGGACACAACCACACGAACGAUUCGCACUGGAGAUGGCCGGCAGAGGAUUAUCCGAGUCUGUGAUUUUAUCGAGGGAAGAGCCCUAAAGUCACGUCUCAGACAAAUUAGUAACUGAAGAAGGUCCUCGCAUGUCCUGUCACCGGCUGACCCAAUUUUGUGUUCUUGGCGUCAAUCAAUUUAAAAUUGAAAUUUGAGAAAUCUUACUCUCGGGCCUUUGCACACUUAACGUGUGAAUUAUUGGAUACGAGUCAUCCUGGGCAUCAUGGGCAUCCUGGGCAUCAUCUUCCCAGUCUGUCACGGUCACUAAGUCGUGACACUCCACCCAAAAUGCUUCACAUCCCUAGUGCAGAUGCGUUGCCUUUAUCCUUUAUCCUUUUCGGUUGCUUUUUACUUUUAUUUUGCUUUUUACUUUUGUAUGUAAAUGUUUGAACUGUCUGCACGAGUGCCACGAGAAUGAACAACAACAACAGCGGCAAAGGCUAAAGGGGUCAGCCUUUCACACCAACAUAAAAUACACACACAUACACACAGCGAAAUAAGAGGUCCACACAAAAACACGAGUUUGUUCUCCAUUA
rnacentral:sRNA from 1 species